ensembl:lncRNA
UGCCCCGCGCGGCGUCGCCGCCUGCCGUCAACACCACCCUGGAGAGGUGGUCAAGCUCUACCCGUCCGGCGCGGCGGGCGCCGCAACACCGGGGAGGCGGCGCCGGGGCCGAGGCCGGGGUCCGACCUGCUGUCCCCGCUGGCGCUCGGGGGAAGCUGCCACAAACACCCGAACCGGCCGGUGCAGCUCUACUGCCGCAUGUGCCGGCAGGCGGGGUGCGGGCAGUGCGUCUCCGAGGAGCACCAGGGCAUCUUCCACUCCGUCAACCUCAUAGACACGGUGUACCAGGAAGAAAAAUUAACCUUCUUCAGCACUCUGAAACAAAUGAGAAUAAUAAAUGAGAAGCUGAUGAAUGAGAUCUCAAAACGACCAAAUGAUACGGAUAUGAUGCUGAACAACGAUGUGGAGAUAAUUGAGCUGAAAUUUGGAGAAAUUUUCAAAACUCUAGAAAUGAAAAAACAGCAGUUACUAGAAGAUGUUGAAAAUCAAAGAGGUAAAAAAGAGAAAGAAUUUCAGAUUUGGAAGAAAAUGAAAGAAACUCACAAGAAGACCAUUGAGAAUUUUUUGAAGGAUUGUGAAAAGCUUGUCCAUGAGUGUGAUCCUCAGCGUUUCCUGGAGGUUGCCUGUGGCUUGAAUACAAGAAUGAAAACUCAGCUUGACGUGAUGAAUAUAGCAUCCAGCUGGGAAAGACCACCAGUGUGUAUGCCAAAGAAGAUGGAUAUCAAAUCUGUGGUUAAUGAAAUCAUAGCUUUGGAGUUAACACCUGUUAAUGUAGGCAUUGUUAAAGGAUUACCAUAUGAAGGAAAUGAGAACUCACUGUUUAAAGAUAUCACGAAGCAGUGUCAGGACCAGAAGAAUAUACCAAACACAUUUCUUCCUGUGGCGGGACAGGAUGAAGCAGACGGUAGCAAGAUCGCUACUCGUUUUAUGUCGAUAUCACAAAUGUCAGCAUUUCAAAAUCUGAGUCAUGAGGAGUUACGUUACAAAUACUAUAUGGAACUUCAGAAACUCAACAAUUUGUUCAAGACACAAAAUUUACCUGCAAAUAAAAAAUAUAAAUUUUUAACUGCUGAGGCCUGGAAGGAUAAGUCCUCAGGAACUCCUUUUGUAUCUUCACCUACCAAAGCAAGUAACACAGAUAAAAUAAAAAUGGCAACCCUGCGAAGAGCAGGCCGCUUUGACAAAAGAAAUUUUCUUGGAAGCAUCCCAUCCACAAAUACAAACUUUUCUGAAACAAAUGGUGACUUACAAUUGUUUCAUGAGGGAAAUUCCCAGGAAGUAACCACUCAAGACUCAGAGAACUCUAAAGACUUGUUAGUUAAAGAAAAGUUACAACCAUCCUCAGUUACUGUUUUCAACGAAAUGGACACAAAUUGUAGCACUUCAUCAGGUGUAAAACCAGCAGCAACAGUAGCUGUUACUGCUGCAAGUUCAGAAUCUCUAGAUAUUUCUGCAGAGAGACUUUCUGGUGUACCUUUUACUUUCAGUGCAACUAACAACUCAUUACCGAGAUUUAUUAAAGAUAGAGGUCUAUUUUCCUUUAGAAAGCAAGACAGGAAAUGUGCUUUCCCUCAGUUUUAUCUAGGGAAAUGUGAUAAUGUGGAUAAAACUGAUAACCGGGAUAAACGUGGUCGUGAAACCAAAACCACAGUUUGUGAUUCUUCAGCCAGUCCUAAUUUAGACUCAGCAGAAAGCACAAAGCCAUACAUUUUGUUUCCCUUUGGCAAUUCAGAAAGAGAUUGGUUUGUACGAUCAGAAGUCAGUAAUUCAUUUAAGGUUUUACCACCAUCAUCGUUUCUUAACCAGUCUGAGAAGCCAUCUGACAAAAAAAUGUUAUCUCCCAUGAGAGAAAAAACACUUUGUGCAAAGGAAACUGCAGAAUAUGGUACACAGAAAGCAUCUGUCUUAUGGGAACAAAGAUCUCAUGCCUCAGAAUCCAGCACAACUGUAACUUGCGUUACUUCAGAAACCAAUACUGCUGCUGGGGUGAAUGAUGUCUCUGAAUCACCCCUUCUCACCAAUAAUUGUGCAUUUCCCUUCAAAAGUAACGUUCCAUUAUCUUCAUCAGUAUUUUCAUUUGGAGGUAUUGUCAAAAAUACCUCCGAAUCACCGACUACUUCUGUGGUUUUUUCUGGGAACAGAACUGAAAAAAUGGAAAAGGAGAAGAGCAAAUCUCCUGACAAAACACUUGAAAAUCUAGGGAAGCCUGUAUCCUCUGAGUCUGCAGAGCCUGCUUCUAGUCAUAGUCAUCCAUGUGAAGGCUCAUGCUUUCCUGUGAACUCAGCUAAAAAAGCUGAAAGUGCAGAAAUGCUUGAUGAUGAUAAUGCUUCCUGUAGUCAGCUUUUAUGUUCAGUUGUGCUUCCAGCUGAAUAUGAGAAUACAUCUUCCAUUCAAAUUACUGCAACAACAAAGCAAGAAAAAAAGGUAGAAGAUGAAGAAACUGUUGCUGCAAACGGCUGUAUGCGUCCUAGGAGGGAAGAUGAACUUGAGCCUGUACAGUUUCAGAAUGCAAUGUGUUCUGUUCCUGGCACAUGCAAUGAUCCAUCUUUAGGAGGUUCUGUGCAUGCAGUAAAUGAGACAGGAGGAAUGCCAAGUGACAGCAAUUCUGACACUGAGGAGCUAAGUCAAACAUGUGUCUCUACUGAUACCAACCACGCAUCAGAAUAUUUUUCUGUUGCAGAAGACAAAAUGUCUACUAGAAGAAAAUCAGACAUGAAGAAAGAGUGAGAUAGAAGAUAACUAUACUUAAAUAAACUAGAAAUAAAUAAAUUCUACUUAACA